rnacentral:lncRNA from 1 species
CCACCUUAGAGAUGUAAGUGGAGGAGAUGGAAAACACAUCAAGGACACCGGAGAUAAAGGAGGCGGCGCCGCCCAGUGACUCUCCUAUCACGGUGUCGUCUUUAAUCAAAACAUCGUGACAAUAAUUACCCACGAUUAGGCAUUAUGGGCCUCUAUCUUCUACCAUUUUGUCAAAGGUACGCCUUCUGGUGGGUGGUCUAGGAUCGGAAUGGAAUGGUUAAGCCAUUAAAGAUGGGAAGAAAGGGGGUGUGGAAUAAAGACAAAAUGGGGUUUUGCUGACACUUGUAUUCGUGUUUGCUGAGCGUGAACUGGAACACACGGGGUACGUGUAAUGGCACAUAUGUGUGUGUCACGCAGAGGGUAACUGUACACAAUGAAAAGAGGGGAAGAAGAAAACGCCUUUGCCUUUCGUUCAUACGUGCAACUACCAAUCUCAGGAGCCCCCAGGACACAUCCGAGUUGAUGGACCAAUCACCGUGACAAUAAUUACCCACGAUUAGGCAUGAUGGGCCUCUAUCUUCUACCAUUUUGUCAAAGGUACGCCUUCUGGUGGGUGGUCUAGGAUCGGAAUGGAAUGGUUAAGCCAUUAAAGAUGGGAAGAAAGGGGGUGUGGAAUAAAGACAAAAUGGGGUUUUGCUGACACUUGUAUUCGUGUUUGCUGAGCGUGAACUGGAACACACGGGGUACGUGUAAUGGCACAUAUGUGUGUGUCACGCAGAGGGGAACUGUACACAAUGAAAAGAGGGGAAGAAGAAAACGCCUUUGCC